AGAGUUUGAUCCUGGCUCAGGAUGAACGCUAGCGGCAGGCUUAAUACAUGCAAGUCGUGGGGCAGCGGGGGUAGCAAUACCCGCCGGCGACCGGCAAACGGGUGCGGAACACGUACGCAACCUUCCUUUAACUGGAGAAUAGCCCCUCGAAAGAGGGAUUAAUACUCCGUAACAUAUUUGAUAAGGCAUCUUAUUAAUAUUAUAGUCUUCGGGCGGUUAAAGAUGGGCGUGCGCCUGAUUAGAUAGUUGGCGGGGUAACGGCCCACCAAGUCUGCGAUCAGUAACUGGUGUGAGAGCACGACCAGUCACACGGGCACUGAGACACGGGCCCGACUCCUACGGGAGGCAGCAGUAAGGAAUAUUGGUCAAUGGACGCAAGUCUGAACCAGCCAUGCCGCGUGGAGGAUUAAGGCCCUCUGGGUUGUAAACUCCUUUUAUCUGGGAAGAAAUGCCAUUUUUCUAAAUGGUUUGACGGUACCAGAGGAAUAAGCACCGGCUAACUCCGUGCCAGCAGCCGCGGUAAUACGGAGGGUGCAAGCGUUAUCCGGAUUCACUGGGUUUAAAGGGUGCGUAGGCGGGCAGGUAAGUCCGUGGUGAAAUCUCUGAGCUUAACUCAGAAACUGCCAUGGAUACUAUUUGUCUUGAAUGUGUGGAGGUAAGCGGANUAUGUCAUGUAGCGGUGAAAUGCUUAGAUAUGACAUAGAACACAAUUUGCCA
rnacentral:rRNA from 1 species